GAUUAGUGAUAAGAAGUCGUUUGGCUAAAGAUAUUGGGUUGUCCGGAAAGUCCAUGCCGAUUUUUGGUGAACAUAUGUUGAGUAUCAUGUCAGCUGGCUCUGUCUACCUUUGACGAGGGCAGCUUCCACCUGGCAGCUUAACGUAACAGCUGCGUUUUCGCAUGGUAAAUGCUGAAUUCUUUCGCUAAAAGGAGAAAACUGAUUGCCAGACACUACAGAACCCUUUGUAUCGGUUUUAGGCGUGCCCUUGUGAAAUAUGCAUCACUAUGGCGCGGUGCUCGAUUUGGGGCGUCCAAUGGUGGUAACGGCCUAUUGUAUUACAAAUCUUGGCUUGCUUCUAUUAAUAACGACACCCACGAGGUAUGCAAUGACAAUACAGCGUCGUUGCAUUGCUGUGAACAAUCGAUUUUAACCAUUUUAACGUCCCCGCGAAAAUUGUACGAUUGCUUGCAAUCGCGAGGUAAGAUAUUCACUAGAAGAUUAUAAAAAACGGGCACUCAACAAGUGGAGUAAUAGUUAACGGAAACAGUCGAAAGUAUUGGUUGUUGGAAACGCAGCGCAGGCGGCAUCUGUGCACGGAAGCUGCGCUUUAAAGCUCUGCACUUUCCAGACGUGGGUCACACGUGAUUCCUAAACGAUUUCAAUGGCGACUCUAUGACCUCAGCCGAGCGCUACUGCAUCGAUAAAGGCCUACCUCAACAAUUCCGAGCUACCUACUUUCUCCGGAUUUAUUCGAAGCCAAGCGUUUCGCCCAUCUCUGCCAGUUGAAACUUUCAACAAAAGCAGAAUCGGUUGCGAAUGUUCCAAUGCUCCCUCGCAAGUGAAAUUGAUCGCGCGCGAGGGCGUCAACGACAAUUGUCACAGAGAUCAGCCGAUACGAAUGGCGGAGCAGAGAAAAGAAAUAUCUGAAAUUCCGUCCAUUUGGAGAAUGGAGAAUGGAGAAUGUUAUGGAAUGGUCCCUGUUUUACCUAGCGCAACGUUACACAUCGACUACGUUUUAGCUACGUUUUAUCGAUGCUUAUAUUUCAGCGUCGUUGUUGAGUUAACAACUCGUUGACUCGUUGCCAUUUUAGGUAUACAACAAGCCUGGAGUGGUUUGACGACAAACGUCCUUCGAUUCUCCUAAAGAUGAUGAGUAAUAUUGCUAAACAAGUAAGUCAAUAUUUAUUAAUCCUCAUUAAUCUCCUCUAAAAACCCUUUCAGCACACGAUGUUUUCCAUUGGGAUCAAUUGGAGCACCUCCCCACGUGGUGCUUUACGAGAGGAGAAUAACGCGUGGUAAUUUAAGGGUUAUGGUUAAAAUCAUAUCUGUGCACGGAAGCUGCGCUUUAAAGAUCUCCACUUUCCAAACGUGGAUCACACGUGAUUCCUGAACGAUUUCAAUGGCGAAUCAUAUCUAAAAUCAAUCAUGCUUGGAUCUACAGCGACGAGGUUACUCACGUGUGCGCGUGUCUGUCGUAGCAGCCGGCGCAUUGGAUGCAGCCGACAAGAACGAUCCAACAGUACCCUAUCCUCGGUUGCAUAUUCGCGAUCGAGAUUUCCGUUCUUCGCACUAAA